GAGGUUCUGCAAUAACUUCUAUUUACAGCCCAGAACCUCCAGCCCAGAUCCCGUCAGCAGCGGCUUUAACCCUCCUGGUAGAAACGUUAAGGAGAAGCAGAGAGAACAGUCAGCAGGUGGUACCAGGUGGUACCGGGGCUUUGAGCUGCGUUGCGAGUCGCGGUGACAGUCGCAGUACUGUGUCUUAUAUCAGGAUGUCUGAUAUAAAGACAGAUAUUCUUUGUAUCUGUUGGUGGACCGACUCAGACUGCAUGUAGUGAACUGGGCUUUUAGCAGAAUGAUCAAGUUAAAGUCAGAAGUUUUGAAGCGUUUCUGUUUGGGGCAAGGCAGGUUUUUUCCCAGCUAUUGCGAGGACAAUUACGAAAAGAUAAAUAGAAACAGUUUUUCUAA